rnacentral:lncRNA from 1 species
CGCAGGUGGAGGAGGCGCCCAGGGCGGCAGGUGCUGGGGCGCUCACCUGGGGGACAGCGGUGACGAAAACGCCAGUGUUUUAGAGGCAAACGAGGGAUCUGGGAUACGACAUUGACAGGGAAAAGCCUGAAAUUUUGGCAUGGCCAACUCAGAGUGUGGAGUCAACGCAGGCAUCUAAUCUUAAUUGUGAUCUAAAUUAAUUCAAAUAAUGGAGGAACAGUUUCUUCGGACAAAGGCAGCAGUAAGCUAAAAACAAAAUCAACUGGCUGAAUUUUCCUUCUUUACCUGAAAAACAAAGUACAGAACAAGUAAGAAAUCAAACAGCAUUUUUUGGGAAAAUAAUGUCAAGAGAUAAUAAUACAUAUUUAAGUGGGGUACAGAGAACUGAAUUUACACAAUAAAGUGUUACCCUAUACCAGUGAUUCUAAAAUUUUGGUCUGGGGAACCUUUCAUGGGGUUCAUGAGGUCAAAACUAUUUUCAUGAUAAUGUUAUUUUGCCUGUUAUAUUCUCAUUCUCGAGUAUACAGUAGAGUUUUCCAGAGGCCACAUGAUCCAUGACAUCACAACAAAAUGAAUAGAGACAGAUGAAAAUCUAGCUGGCUUCUGCUACAUCAAUCAGACAUUAAGGGGUCCAGAGACCAUAAAGUGUGACAACCACCACUCUUCACAGCCUAUAUAUAAUAUCUCAAAAUAAUGUUAAUUCUCUAUCCUCAAAGUUUAUUUCCUUAUAUCUACAUUUUCUAUGAUCAACACACUCACUACAAAAAAGUCCACUAGCGUUGCCCAGGUGCUCCCGUGAGUUGGCUGCUACUAUGAAGUGGCCCAUCCAUCUAAAUCUCUCAGAGGACAAUUCUAGGAUU